rnacentral:lncRNA from 1 species
UUGAGAGCUUUCUAGGUGCCUCCAGGCUGCUCCAGUCCUGUGUGUGUGUGUGUGUGUGUGUGUGUGUGUGUGUGUGUGUGUUGUGUGUGAGAAAGAGAGGGAUACAGUCCCUGGUAGGUAGCAGUACUCUUAAAAGCUCCUACCACAUCCAUGACCUUGGCACUAACAGGAAGCCAAGCCUUUGUGGACAGAUCCCAUGAACUUGAACAAGGAGUUUAUAUAUCAAAUGGCCUCAUAGAGCUGUAAGAGGAAGCCCAGAUGAAUCUUUCUUGAAUGGACAAAUGCUUUCAGAUCAAUUAUAAAGAAAAGCGACAAGAACAUUUUCCCAAAGGAGGCACGGAGAGA